UUGGAGGGCAAGUCUGGUGCCAGCAGCCGCGGUAAUUCCAGCUCCAAUAGCGUAUAUUAAAGUUGUUGCAGUUAAAAAGCUCGUAGUUGAACUUCGGGAUUCACCCAUUGGUCAGGCUUAAUUGUCUGUACUGGUGAGAUGAGUCUCUACCUUCUGAGGAACUUUCAUGCCAUUUGUUUGGUGUGAUUGGAAAUCAGGACUGUUACUUUGAAAAAAUUAGAGUGUUUAAAGCAGGCUAACGUCUGAAUACAUUAGCAUGGAAUAAUGAAAUAGGACGGAUUGAUUCUAUUUCGUUGGUUUCUAGGGUCACCGUAAUGAUUAAUAGGGAUAGUUGGGGGCAUUAGUAUUCAAUUGUCAGAGGUGAAAUUCUUGGAUUUAUUGAAGACUAACUACUGCGAAAGCAUUUGCCAAGGAUGUUUUCAUCAAUCAAGAACGAAAGUUAGGGGAUCGAAGACGAUCAGAUACCGUCGUAGUCUUAACCAUAAACUAUGCCGACUAGGGAUCGGACGCAGUUAAUUUUAUAAUGACGUGUUCGGCACCUUACGGGAAACCAAAG
rnacentral:rRNA from 1 species